rnacentral:rRNA from 1 species
UACGUAGGGUGCAAGCGUUAUCCGGAAUUAUUGGGCGUAAAGAGCUCGUAGGCGGUUUGUCGCGUCUGCCGUGAAAGUCCGGGGCUCAACUCCGGAUCUGCGGUGGGUACGGGCAGACUAGAGUGAUGUAGGGGAGACUGGAAUUCCUGGUGUAGCGGUGAAAUGCGCAGAUAUCAGGAGGAACACCGGUGGCGAAGGCGGGGCUCUGGGCCGUUGCUGACGCUGAGGCGCGACAGCGUGGGGAGCAAACAGG